rnacentral:rRNA from 1 species
CCUACGGGAGGCAGCAGUGAGGAAUAUUGGUCAAUGGCCGGAAGGCUGAACCAGCCAUGCCGCGUGAAGGUCAGUGCCCUAUGGGCGUUAAACUUCUUUUGUAAAGGGACAAAAUCAGGCUCGAGAGACUGACCGAGGGUACUUGAAGAAAAAGCAUCGGCUACCUCCGUGCCAGCAGCCGCGGUAAUAAGGAGGAUGCGAGCGUUAUCCGGAGUUAUUGGGCUAAAAGGGUGCGUAGGCGGGCUGUUAAGUCAGCGGUAAAAGCCCGGUGCUCAACCCCGGCGAGCCGUUGAAACUGGCUGGCUGGAGAUGUCGAGAGGGAUGCGGAAUGCGCAGUGUAGCGGUGAAAUGCUUAGAUAUUGCGCAGAACUCCGAUUGCGAAGGCAGCAUACCGGCGGCGAUCGGACGCUGAGGCACGAAAGCGUGGGUAUCGAACAGGAUUAGAUACCCUAGUAGUC